rnacentral:lncRNA from 1 species
UGCCCCGAAGCCACGCCCUCUGCUCCGCCCACCUCGCCUCUCCAUCCUGCUCCGCCCUCUGCCCGCCCCGCCCCGAAGCCACGCCCUGCCGGGUGCUUUCCCAUGGGCGACCGAAACUCGGCUCGUGGUUUCGCAGUCCUGGAACCGCCGGCACCCGCGUAGACCGUCCCCUCUCGGUGCUGGCUCUGGCUCCCGGGAUGAGUGUCCCCGUCGGCGCUGCCCCGCCCUCGCUCGUCGCCUCAGCGACCAUGGCCUUUCCAGGAGGCGAGGCCGCCAGCCAUAGCGCCCUCGCUGCGUCGGCGUCCAGGCGGGACUCCGGAGUGGGCGGGGCUCCGGCUCUAGGCAGGCUGCUAUGUUGGAUCAAGUAAAGUUCUAAACGCUGUGCACCUAUUUAGUACUGACUAGUACUAGGAAGUGUAUUUGCUUUUCGGAGAUGAUGGGAUCUAAAUUUUGUUUAUACCACUUCACGCCCAUUAGGAUGGCUACUAGCAAAACCCCCAGAAAUUAGUGUUGGUGAAGAUGUAGAGAAAUUGAAGCCCUUGUAUAUUGCUGUUGGGAAUGUAAAAUGGUGCAGCCAUGUGAUGAACAAUACUGCGGUUCCUCAACAAAUCAGUUAUAUGAUCCAGCAUUUUCUUUUCUGGGUAUAUAACCCAAAAGAAUUUAAAACAGGGUGUACAAGAAGAAAUGUUUUUACACUCACGUUGACAGCGGCACUAUUCACAAUAGCCAAAAGGGUGGAGGCAAUUUAAGUGUCCAAAAACAGAUACAUGGAUAAGCAAAAUGUUGUCUGUGCAUGCAAGGGAACAUUUUUUAGCCUGAACAAAGAACGAAAUUCUGACACUUGCUACUACAUGGAUGAACCUGGAGGACACUAUGCUGAGGGAGAGACUCCAGUCCCACCAGAUUUCCCACCGAUCUGCUGACAUGAUGCUCCUGCCUCUGCCUGGACUGCUGACCUCCCCACGUGCUUCUCCCUGCUUAUCCAAGCGCCCCUUUCCCACUGAAAGCAUCUCAGAACCCUGAAGAAGCUGCAUCCCUGUACAUCUGUCACUGGCAGAACCAGGAACCAGAACGAGGUGAAAACACAAAGAGAUUUCUGGCACUAAACGGGUGUAUUUGGGUUGCUCAUGUAGAAAAAAGAUAAAAAAUGACACAUUAAAUAUUGGUUUAGGGUCUGCCUUCUGUCCACUAGGAUUUAAACUGUGUGAGGGAAGGGACUCAGGCUGUUUGUUCAGUUAUAGCUCCAGUGCCUGGAGAACUGCACGUCACAAAGUGGGAAGAGUUUUGGAAUUUUUUUUUUUUUUUUUUUUUUU